UACGUAGGGGGCAAGCGUUGUCCGGAAUCAUUGGGCGUAAAGAGCGUGUAGGCGGUCCGUUAAGUCGGCUGUGAAAGUCCAAGGCUCAACCUUGGGAUGCCGGUCGAUACUGCCGGACUAGAGUUCGGAAGAGGCGAGUGGAAUUCCCGGUGUAGCGGUGAAAUGCGCAGAUAUCGGGAGGAACACCUAUGGCGAAGGCAGCUCGCUGGGACGUUACUGACGCUGAGGCGCGAAAGCGUGGGGAGCGAACAGG
rnacentral:rRNA from 1 species